rnacentral:rRNA from 1 species
GACAAACGCUGGCGGCGUGCCUAAGACAUGCAAGUCGGACGGAGGGCGAAAGCUCUCAGUGGCGGACGGGUGAGGAACGCGUGGAGAACCUGCCCCGGGAUGGGGGAUACCCGCCAGAAAUGGCGGCUAAGACCGCAUACGAUCCAGCGCCGAGGGGUGCUGGAGGAAAACCUUCGGGUGUCCUGGGAGGGGUCCGCGUCGGAUUAGCUAGUUGGUGGGGUAACGGCUCACCAAGGCCGCGAUCCGUAGCUGGUCUGAGAGGACGGCCAGCCACACU